UACGUAGGGUGCGAGCGUUAAUCGGAAUUACUGGGCGUAAAGCGUGCGCAGGCGGUUUGUUAAGACAGAUGUGAAAUCCCCGGGCUUAACCUGGGAACUGCAUUUGUGACUGCAUGGCUAGAGUACGGUAGAGGGGGAUGGAAUUCCGCGUGUAGCAGUGAAAUGCGUAGAUAUGCGGAGGAACACCGAUGGCGAAGGCAAUCCCCUGGACCUGUACUGACGCUCAUGCACGAAAGCGUGGGGAGCAAACGAGGAUUAGAAACCCUUGUAGAUCCCAUGACCCAAGUCACUCGCCAUGACCGUUAAUCA
rnacentral:rRNA from 1 species